UGCAGUCGAGCGGACAGAUGGGAGCUUGCUCCCUGAUGUUAGCGGCGGACGGGUGAGUAACACGUGGGUAACCUGCCUGUAAGACUGGGAUAACUCCGGGAAACCGGGGCUAAUACCGGAUGGUUGUUUGAACCGCAUGGUUCAGACAUAAAAGGUGGCUUCGGCUACCACUUACAGAUGGACCCGCGGCGCAUUAGCUAGUUGGUGAGGUAACGGCUCACCAAGGCGACGAUGCGUAGCCGACCUGAGAGGGUGAUCGGCCACACUGGGACUGAGACACGGCCCAGACUCCUACGGGAGGCAGCAGUAGGGAAUCUUCCGCAAUGGACGAAAGUCUGACGGAGCAACGCCGCGUGAGUGAUGAAGGUUUUCGGAUCGUAAAGCUCUGUUGUUAGGGAAGAACAAGUGCCGUUCAAAUAGGGCGGCACCUUGACGGUACCUAACCAGAAAGCCACGGCUAACUACGUGCCAGCAGCCGCGGUAAUACGUAGGUGGCAAGCGUUGUCCGGAAUUAUUGGGCGUAAAGGGCUCGCAGGCGGUUUCUUAAGUCUGAUGUGAAAGCCCCCGGCUCAACCGGGGAGGGUCAUUGGAAACUGGGGAACUUGAGUGCAGAAGAGGAGAGUGGAAUUCCACGUGUAGCGGUGAAAUGCGUAGAGAUGUGGAGGAACACCAGUGGCGAAGGCGACUCUCUGGUCUGUAACUGACGCUGAGGAGCGAAAG
rnacentral:rRNA from 2 species